CUUUUAUCUGCCAACUUCUAUUGAGUUUGCUAAGCAGGAAGCAAUAGAUGAACCCCAACACAUCAGAAUAGCUAUGUGCAGAAUGCUGCUAUCACAGCUGACAUCAGUCACAUCACUCAAGCUUCUUGAGAAAUGGGUUCAAUGGUGCUUGAGAUAAAGUGUAGAAAAAAUACAAACCAAAGGAAGAUUUUCAGGAAGCCAGAAAGGCUAAAAGGGGACAGAUCAUGUGGUGUCUGUCUUUCCCUCACACUCUGAGGGAGCACAGAGCUGUGAUAUAUCAUCAGGACUGCUUUUCAGCUGCACGUGAGCAGCAGAGACAACAGCUGAGAGGCAUUUAACAGCUACCUUGUGAAGUUCACUGAGCUGCACCUGUGUGCUGUGAAGUUCUCUGCGUGGUCUCCACCAGGUAAAUACUUGUAAGUUUGAGUUUCAGGAUGUGUCCUUGAACCGCAGUUUACUUUCACUGAAAUAAAUGUAAAUAGUGAUGCUUUUAGCAUGUGAAUUGGUGUCUACCAAGCUGGGUCCAUAACUUCAUAAGACUUUAAAGCAGCAUAAAAAACUGACCGGUUAUAAAACUAAUAUAUUAAAAGAAGGGAAGAAAAUGAGAUGUUAAUGUUUAAAUGUAUUGGAUAGUUGCAGUUAAAUGUCCGGAUCUGCAUUUUCCCUCUGUUAGGAGUGGCUUAGCAGCAGCAAUGUUUUUGGUCACCAAAAAGUAUAUUUCAACCCCACAUUGAUAUUGAAUUACAAACUAAAAAUCUAUUUAAAUAAAUGAAAAAAAUGUAUAACUUGCAAUAUUUGUCCUCUAAAAAUUGUUAGAGAUUUAUUAGUGCUGAUAAUAGAAGAAGUAAUAGCGUAAUCAGAGCAUUAUAGAGGCUUUUUGGUUAUUUCUGCUUUGAGAUAAAUUUGAAUUUGACAGUGUCUCUAAAAAUGUUCGUGGCCCCUAACACUACAGAUUCUCCUACUGCUGCCACCCAGCAGAAAUGCCUAGAGCAGCAUUGCUAUGGUAGCUAAACCAGAUGGUGUUUUACCAUUACAGAAUCUCACCUGUGAAACAGAAAAGAGCUAUAGA
rnacentral:lncRNA from 1 species